GUUGAAACACUAGUUCCCCAUAUGAUCACUGAAGUUAAGCAAAAUUGAGCCUGGACACUACUUAGAUGGGUGACCGCUUGGUAAUACCAGGAGCUGUAAG